GACGAACGCUGGCGGCGUGCUUAACACAUGCAAGUCGAACGGAAAGGCCCUGCGUUUGUUGGUUGCUCGAGUGGCGAACGGGGGAGUAACACGUGAGUAACCUGCCCUUGACUGUGUGAGAACUUCAGGAAACUGGGGCUAAUACCGGAGAGAAGCUCCUGCUGCGCGUUGUUGGAUGGUAAGUGUCGGCGGUGGGGGAUGGACUCGCUGGUUAUCAGCUUGUUGGUGGGGUAGGGGUUUACCAAGGCUUUGACGGGUAGCCGGCCUGAGAGGGUUGACGGGGACCUUGGGACUGCGAUAGGGAGCAGACUGGUACGGGAGGCAGCAGUGGGGAAUAUUGCAGAACGGGGGGAAGUCAGAUGUAGAAACCCCGCGUGCGGGAUACUGGCUUUCGGGUUGUAAACAGAUUUCGAAUGUGCUGAAGAGUGAGUGACGGUAACGGGUAAAGAAGCAACGGCUAACUACGUG
rnacentral:rRNA from 1 species